AAUGACGGCGAUUUAAGUUUUAUGAAUUUAACUUUUCGUCAAUCACUACGUCAUUUUAUAAGCAAAUAUUAUAAUCAAUCAAACAAAACUAUCAUGAACACAUUAUUACCACCAGAUGAAGUACGAGAACUAAAAAUUGUUGCAUGUUGAAGAACAUUCAAAAUUCAAUUUAAAAUGUAUAUGAAAAGAUGACAAUAAUGGAAAAUACACCUGACCCUGUAUUCAAAUAUGUGUUUAAACGAAUUAUUUAUUUUAAUUCUGAUCACAAAGAUUUAAUCAUCAAAACUCUAAAAGUAAUAAAGGAUGAAAUAUCGAAAACAAAUAGCUGUGAUACAUUUGAUUGUAUUGUCUAUAUAGAUUCUUUCGGAAUCUAUUGCAAUAAUGAAAAUAUAAUCAAUGAGUUUGAAAGAUUUUUAGUUAGUAGAUUACCAGAUAAUACACUUAUAUACCCACAUUAUACAGUAAAUUCAGUAAAUUUUGAAGAUAUUAGGAAAUUUCAAAUACAUACACAUUUACCUCUAGGUCGAUGUAUUAUAGAGGCAAUACAGGUAAUAAAAGAAAGUAUUGACAAAUUUACUUUACAAAACAUAUUUUUGAGCUUUAAUGGUGGAAAAGAUUGCGUCGUUUUAUUAUAUCUAUUUCAAGCUGUGCUUGAAGAAUUAAAAUUUAAUGAACGAAUCAAAGCUGUUUAUUUUCAAUCAGAUGACCAAUUUUCUGAAGAAGAAGACUAUGUACAAUCCACAGUAAACAGGUUUAAUUUAGACUUAACAGUAAUCAAAGGUGAACUUAAAUCUGGUCUUAAUGACUUUUUGAAGGAAAAUCCUCAAUUUUGUGCAUCUAUCAUAGGUACAAGACAAUCUGAUACAGGUUCUACAAAACUGCAGUUCUUUCAAAAAAUUAGGUGCACUAAUUGUUCCAUGCUCGGUCGGAAAUUGAAGUCUGCGCACAGUGCGCACGCCUAUGAUGAAUAAUAUCACAUAGUAUUCUAAUUACACAUAAACUCCAGUAUUGUAAAAUGUUUGAGUAAUAGUGUAGGUCAUUGAAUGAAUAUAAUUUUUACUAAGUUUAAAACAUUUUUUAAUUAGUGGCUUUAUAUUACAUACAUUUUAGUAAGUAUACAAUGUACUUUUAUAUAUUUUAUAAAAAAAAUCAUUUAUUGCAUGUUAAUUACAAUUUUUAUUUUAGUUUAUCUUUAAUUACUUCAUAACUUUUUUGGUCAGAUAAAAUGAAUAAAACUUAUUUAAUGAUAAUUAUUAUAUUUAUUUUGUAGUAUUUUAAAUAUAUUUGUUUUUAAUUUACUCAAAUUCUUUUUAAAAGUAUUUUUAACAUUGCAUUUAUUACUAUAUAUUGGAUACUUAAAUAGCAAGAUAAUAUCAUACAAAUUGAAAAAAUAAAUAAAUAGUUUCUUUUAUUGUCAAACUUGAAAAAUUAAUUUUAGAUCAGUAUAAUAUAAUUAUUAUAGAUAAUAAUAUUGUCAGUACCUAAUUCAUCUAAUUGUAAUCAAUUACUACUAUACGACUAAAAUAUAUGACUUUGAAAACUACUAAUCAACCAUGUAUUAUUAUUUUAGAAAACUGAUCCAGGCUGGCCUAAAUUAGUACGAGUACAACCUUUAUUGCAUUGGAAUUAUGAUAACAUUUGGUCAUUUUUGAGACAAUUCUCUAUUCCGUAUUGUAGCUUGUAUGAUAAAGGGUAUACAUCUCUUGGUAACAAGUCAAAA